rnacentral:rRNA from 1 species
AAACUUUCAACAACGGAUCUCUUGGUUCUGGCAUCGAUGAAGAACGCAGCGAAAUGCGAUAAGUAAUGUGAAUUGCAGAAUUCAGUGAAUCAUCGAAUCUUUGAACGCACAUUGCGCCCCCUGGUAUUCCGGGGGGCAUGCCUGUUCGAGCGUCAUUC